rnacentral:rRNA from 1 species
UCUACGGGUGGCAGCAGUGGGGAAUAUUGCACAAUGGGGGAAACCCUGAUGCAGCGACGCCGCGUGAGCGAUGAAGUAUUUAGGUAUGUAAAGCUCUAUCAGCAGGGAAGAAAAUUACGGUACCUGACUAAGAAGCCCCGGCUAACUACGUGCCAGCAGCCGCGGUAAUACGUAGGGGGCAGGCGGUAUCCGGAUUUACUGGGUGUAAAGGGAGCGUAGAAGGCUGUGCAAGCCAGAUGUGAAAGCCAGGGGCUAAAACACGGGACUGCAGUUGAAACAGUGGGGCUUGAGUGUCGGAGAGGCAGGUGGAAUUCCUAGUGUAGCGGUGAAAUGCGUAGAUAUUAGGAGGAACACCAGUGGCGAAGGCGGCCUGCUGGACGAUGACUGACGUUGAGGCUCGAAAGCGUGGGGAGCAAACAGGAUUAGAUACCCCAGUAGUC